AGGUGCGAAUCACUCUUUCAUGACUCAAUGCUGGCCUUGUUAUGAAGGAGACCCAGAAAUAGUUGAACUCUUUUUUUAUUCUUCACUGUGUUAUUAAAGAGUUGCUUCACAGAUGUGUACUCUGUGGCACAUCUAGUGCUGAAAAAGAAGCAGAUUCCCAAUGCAGGUAUACAACCAGAGCAGCAUCUCCAGUAAGGCCUACGGUACAACCUUGGUCAAGUUCAGCUCUGGCAGGAUAACGCUGAGACGGAACACCCAUC